rnacentral:rRNA from 1 species
AGAGUUUGAUCCUGGCUCAGGAUGAACGCUGGCGGCGUGCUUAACACAUGCAAGUCGAACGGGAUCCUUUGGAUUCGUCUAAAGGUGAGAGUGGCGAACGGGUGAGUAACACGUUGGUGACCUGCCCCAAAGAGGGGGAUAACUACUGGAAACGGUAGCUAAUACCCCAUGUGAUCCUUAGGUUUGAACACUCUAGGAUUAAAGCUCCGGCGCUUUGGGAGGGGCCUGCGGCCCAUCAGCUAGUUGGUAGGGUAACGGCCUACCAAGGCGAAGACGGGUAGGGGACGUGAGAGCGUGACCCCCCACACUGGCACUGAAACACGGGCCAGACUCCUACGGGAGGCAGCAGUGAGGAAUAUUGCCCAAUGGACGAAAGUCUGAGGCAGCAACGCCGCGUGGAUGAUGAAGGCCUUCGGGUUGUAAAAUCCUUUUCUGAAGGAAGAGAAAGGACGGUACUUCAGGAAUAAGCGUCGGCUAACUACGUGCCAGCAGCCGCGGUAAAACGUAGGACGCAAGCGUUAUCCGGAUUUAUUGGGCGUAAAGCGCGUGCAGGCGGUAUGGUAAGUCGGACGUGAAAGCUCUCGGCUCAACUGGGAGAGGUCGUUCGAAACUGCCAUACUUGAGGAUGGUAGAGGAGAGUGGAAUUCCGGGUGUAGUGGUGAAAUGCGUAGAUAUCCGGAGGAACACCAGUGGCGAAGGCGGCUCUCUGGGCCACUCCUGACGCUAAGACGCGAAAGCUAGGGUAGCAAACGGGAUUAGAAACCCCGGUAGUCCUAGCCGUAAACGAUGGAGACUAGGUGUAGGGAGUAUUAAACCUCUCUGUGCCGCAGCUAACGCGUUAAGUCUCCCGCCUGGGGAUUACGACCGCAAGGUUAAAACUCAAAGGAAUUGAUGG